AGUGAACGCUGGCGGUAGGCCUAACACAUGCAAGUCGAACGGCAGCACAGUAAGAGCUUGCUCUUACGGGUGGCGAGUGGCGGACGGGUGAGGAAUACAUCGGAAUCUACUUUUUCGUGGGGGAUAACGUAGGGAAACUUACGCUAAUACCGCAUACGACCUACGGGUGAAAGCAGUGGAUCUUCGGACCUUGCGCGAUUGAAUGAGCCGAUGUCGGAUUAGCUAGUUGGCGGGGUAAAGGCCCACCAAGGCGACGAUCCGUAGCUGGUCUGAGAGGAUGAUCAGCCACACUGGAACUGAGACACGGUCCAGACUCCUACGGGAGGCAGCAGUGGGGAAUAUUGGACAAUGGGCGCAAGCCUGAUCCAGCCAUACUGCGUGGGUGAAGAAGGCCUUCGGGUUGUAAAGCCCUUUUGUUGGGAAAGAAAAGCAGCAGGUUAAUACCCCGCUGUUCUGACGGUACCCAAAGAAUAAGCACCGGCUAACUUCGUG
rnacentral:rRNA from 1 species